GACGAACGCUGGCGGCGUGCUUAACACAUGCAAGUCGAACGGAAAGGCCCUGCUUUUGUGGGGUGCUCGAGUGGCGAACGGGUGAGUAACACGUGAGUAACCUGCCCUUGACUUUGGGAUAACUUCAGGAAACUGGGGCUAAUACCGGAUAGGAUCUCCUGCUUCUUGGUGGGGGUUGGAAAGUUUCGGCGGUUGGGGUUGGACUGGCGUCUUAUCAGCUUGUUGGUUGGGUAGUGGCUUACCAAGGCUUGGACGGGUAGCCGGGCUGAGAGGGUGACCGGACAAGUUGGGACGGAGAUGCGGCACGGACCCGUACGGGACGCAAGGGAGGGGAAGAGAACACAAGGGGAGGGAGGAAGAUGCGACAACGCAGCGUGGGGGAUGAGGGGCAUCGGGUAGGAUUCCGCUGCCGCCUGUGACGAAGCGAGAAUGACGGUAAUGGGUAAAGAAGCACCGGCUAACUACGUG
rnacentral:rRNA from 1 species